rnacentral:rRNA from 1 species
GAUCCUCGGGGGGCAGCAGUGGGGGAUAUUGCACAAUGGGGGGAACCCUGAUGCAGCGACGCCGCGUGGGUGAAGGAGUACUUCGGUACGUAAAGCCCUAUCAGCAGGAAAGAAAAUGACGGUACCUGACUAAGAAGCCCCGGCCAACUACGUGCCAGCAGCCGCGGUAAUACGCAGAGGGCAAGCGUUAUCCGGAUUUACUGGGUGUAAAGGGAGCGUAGACGGCAGUGCAAGUCCGGA